rnacentral:rRNA from 1 species
UACGAAGGGGGCUAGCGUUGCUCGGAAUUACUGGGCGUAAAGCGCACGUAGGCGGUCUUUUAAGUCGGGGGUGAAAUCCUGGAGCUCAACUCCAGAACUGCCUUCGAUACUGGAAGACUUGAGUCCGGGAGAGGUGGAGUGGAACUGGCGAGUGUAGAGGUGAAAUUCGUAGAUAUUCGCAAGAACACCAGUGGCGAAGGCGGCUCACUGGCCCGGUACUGACGCUGAGGUGCGAAAGCGUGGGGAGCAAACAG